rnacentral:tRNA from 1 species
GCGGGAGUAGCUCAGCUGGUUAGAGCAUCAGCCUUCCAAGCUGAGGGUCGCGGGUUCGAAUCCCGUUUCCCGCU